ensembl:lincRNA linc-124 ncRNA
UAUACUUUAUAUUCAUAACUAUGCUUUCUGCACAUCACUUUGUGAAAAUUUAUCAUAAUCCUCUGCUAAGCCACCUCAUCAGUGUUAUCACUUUGUCUCUAAUCUCUUUUUCUUUUAGCAAAAAGAUAUGUAGCUUCCAGUUGGCUUAAUCUUCUAUUACCCCAUCUGAAAAUGUUGCUGAAGAUUAUUAGAAAAGUGGCAAGAAAUGCGGUAAAUCAUAAAGCAUGUGAUUAAAUGAUAUCUAAAAUUUCAGAUUUGUAGGCUCACUUGAGCGGAAAAUUUGGUGUGUGGUGUUUACACAUCGGCAAUUGCAAUUAUACAUAGAUUUUAAUAAAGAUUCCACGUUG